CGGCGCCUACACAUGCAAGUUCGAGCGAGACCUUCGGGUCUAGCGGCGGACGGGUUAGUACCCUUUGGGAACGUACCUUUUGCUUCGGAAUAGCCUCGGGACCUGGGAGUAAUACCGAAUGUGCCCUUUGGGGGAAAGAUUUAUCGGCAAAAGAUCGGCCCGCGUCUGAUUAGAUAGUUGGUGGGGUAAUGGCCUACCAAGUCUGCGAUCAGUAGCUGGUUUGAGAGGAUGAUCAGCAACACUGGGACUGAGACACGGCCCAGACUCCUACGGGAGGCAGCAGUGGGGAAUCUUAGACAAUGGGCGCAAGCCUGAUCUAGCGAUGCCGCGUGAGUGACGAAGGCCUUAGGGUCGUAAAGCUCUUUCGCCAGGGAUGAUAAUGACAGUACCUGGUAAAGAAACCCCGGCUAACUCCGUGCCAGCAGCCGCGGUAAUACGGAGGGGGUUAGCGUUGUUCGGAAUUACUGGGCGUAAAGCGCACGUAGGCGGAUUAGAAAGUUGGGGGUGAAAUCCCAGGGCUCAACCCUGGAACUGCCUCCAAAACUACUAGUCUAGAGUUCGAGAGAGGUGAGUGGAAUUCCGAGUGUAGAGGUGAAAUUCGUAGAUAUUC
rnacentral:rRNA from 1 species